UACGGAGGGUGCAAGCGUUAUCCGGAUUCACUGGGGUUAAAGGGUGCGUAGGCGGGUAAGUAAGUCCGUGGUGAAAUCUCUGAGCUUAACUCAGAAACUGCCGUGGAUACUAUUUGCCUUGAAUAUUGUGGAGGUGAGCGGAAUAUGUCAUGUAGCGGUGAAAUGCUUAGAUAUGACAUAGAACACCAAUUGCGAAGGCAGCUCACUACACAAUCAUUGACGCUGAGACGCGAAAGCGUGGGGAGCAAACAGG
rnacentral:rRNA from 1 species